rnacentral:rRNA from 1 species
GAUGAACGCUAGCGCCAGGCUUAACACAUGCAAGUCGAGGGGCAGCACAGGUAGCAAUACCGGGUGGCGACCGGCGCACGGGUGAGUAACGCGUAUGCAACUUACCUAUCAGAGGGGGAUAACCCGGCGAAAGUCGGACUAAUACCGCAUGAAGCAGGGGUCCCGCAUGGGGAUAUUUGCUAAAGAUUCAUCGCUGAUAGAUAGGCAUGCGUUCCAUUAGGCAGUUGGCGGGGUAACGGCCCACCAAACCGACGAUGGAUAGGGGUUCUGAGAGGAAGGUCCCCCACAUUGGUACUGAGACACGGACCAAACUCCUACGGGAGGCAGCAGUGAGGAAUAUUGGUCAAUGGCCGAGAGGCUGAACCAGCCAAGUCGCGUGAGGGAUGAAGGUUCUAUGGAUCGUAAACCUCUUUUAUAAGGGAAUAAAGUGCGGGACGUGUCCCGUUUUGUAUGUACCGUAGGAAUAAGGAUCGGCUAACUCCGU